rnacentral:rRNA from 1 species
GAUGAACGCUGGCGGCGUGCCUAAUACAUGCAAGUCGAGCGAACAGACAGUGAGCUUGCUCCUCUGACGUUAGCGGCGGACGGGUGAGUAACACGUGGAUAACCUACCUAUAAUACUGGGAGGACUUCGUGAAACCGGAUCUAAUACCGGAUAAUAUAUUGUACCGGUGGGUUCAAUAGUUAAAGACGGUUUUGCUGUCACUUAUAGAUGGAUCCGCGUCGCAUUAGCUAGUUGGUGAGGUAACGGCUUACCAAGGCAACGAUGCGUAGCCGAGCUGAGAGGGUGAUCGGCCACACUGGAACUGAGACACGGUCCAGACUCCUACGGGAGGCAGCAGUAGGGAAUAUUCCGCAAUGGGCGCAAGCCUGACGGAGCAACACCGCGUGAGUGAUGAAGGCCUUCGGAUCGUAAAACUCUGUUAUUAGGGAAGAAAAACUGUGUAAGAAACUCCGGACGUCCUGACGGUACCUAAUGAGAAAGCACCGGCUAACUACGUG